GCCCAGCCUUAACAAAACAAUAAAACCACCAAUUGUUCGCCAAAUAACUACGAGUAAUAACUUAAAAUUUAAAAGACUUGACGGUACCCCACAACAACCUAGAGGAGCCUGUCUAAUAAACGAUACCCCACGAUUAACCCAACCCGCCAUAGCCUAACAGUCUAUAUACCGCCGUCGCCAGCCCACCUCAUGAGAGAACAAAAGUGAGCCAAAUAGCCCCCACUAACACGACAGGUCAAGGUGUAACUAAUGGGCGGGACUAAGAUGGGCUACAUUUUCUUAACUAGAACAUACGAAUUCAACCAUGAAAAAAGAAACUGAAGGCGGAUUUAGCAGUAUAUUAAGAACAAAAAUACUUAAUUGAAACCAACGCAAUGGGGUGCGCACACACCGCCCGUCAUCCCUGCAUACAUAAAUUUCAUUAUAAUAAUAUUAAUCAAACCAGGGCAAGUCGUAACAUGGUAAGCGUACUGGAAAGUGCGCUUAGAAAC
rnacentral:rRNA from 1 species